UACGUAGGGUGCGAGCGUUAAUCGGAAUUACUGGGCGUAAAGCGUGCGCAGGCGGUUCGUUAAGUCAGAUGUGAAAGCCCCGGGCUCAACCUGGGAACUGCAUUUGAAACUGGCGGGCUUGAGUGUGGCAGAGGGGGGUGGAAUUCCACGUGUAGCAGUGAAAUGCGUAGAGAUGUGGAGGAACACCGAUGGCGAAGGCAGCCCCCUGGGCUAACACUGACGCUCAUGCACGAAAGCGUGGGGAGCAAACAGG
rnacentral:rRNA from 1 species